GGUGUCUAUAUCCUGAUAUAAACAGAGCUAAUAAUACUUGUAUAAACUGUAGCUACCUUCAGAUACCUGUAAAGGUUCAAAAACCUGUUGUGAAUGGAUCUCAUCAUAUCUCAGUCCAGCUGUGUAGCUGAGCUUGAAUAGCUGAUACUAAGCUGAAUGGCUGAGCCACUUAAAUACUUAAUACGAACCCCCUGGACAGUGAGCCAGGGUUUCCAGCAAGGGUUUACAGUUUCCAAAGAUAAAAUUACAGCAGCAGCUACCCUGUUCAUUAGAGCAGAAUAGACUUGAAAGUUUCGUUCCCAAUUCAUUCUGGGGAAGAACUGUCAGGAUUUGCAAUAAACAAGAUAUAUUGAUAAUCCAGAAAAUUGAAUGGGCUCCAGUGUUCUUUCUGUGCCUCAGGCAUUUUCAAUUCAGAAUAUGUUGGGAGCACUUGAUUAUAUCAGACCAUUUUAGAGCAGCAGCAGAGAUGGUAUCGUGUUGGUUGCUCAGAGUUCAGUGACAGCUUUGUGACUGCUGAAUCACAGAAUCACAGGAUCAUUAAAGCUGGGAAGACCAACAAGAUCAUGGAUAUUCCAGGCUGGAUGUGGCUCUGGGCAGCCUGGUCUGGUGGUUGGCGACCUUGCACAUAGCAGGGGGUUUGAAACUCGAUUAUCACUGUGGUCCUUUUCAACCCAAGCUGUUCUAUGAUUCUAUGAUCAUCCAGUCCAACCAUCAACACAUGCCUAUGACUGCUCUCUGGAUGUGUAGAUGUAUCUACAUGUUUCUUGAACACCUCCAGGGACAGUGACUCCAACACCCCCUGGGCAGCCUGUUCCAAUGCCUCACCACUCUUUCUGAGCAGAAAUGCCUCCUACCUGAACAACCCCUGCUGCAACUUAAGGCCUUUGCCACUUCUUCUAUCAAAAAGCUGAAGGCCUAUCUGAAGGCUGUGUAUGUCUCUGUGUCCAUGGUGGACAGCACAGUUUCUGUCACGUUUAGUAAAUUUAUUCUUGAACUGAUGUUUCAUGCCUAAUUCUUGGCCAACAUCUCAUUCACAACAGUUAUAUUCCAAUGGAGCCUCUGUCACAAGGUCAAGUGUUCCUCACGUAUAUCAGGAGUAGGUUUCCUUCUGCAGCAAAAGCGCCAUGUCCUGGUAUGAACAUUUCCUACAAUUACACUUCUGGGAAGUGAAAUCUAAAUUUAUGUUCCACAAAUGUACUCUGCUAUUUUCUAGACACUUUUGCAAAGUUAACCCAUACUGUCCCCCAAAAGAGCCCCAGCAAGACCCAGCGGCACAACCUGCGGGGUUGGAUGGUGCUCUGUGAGCCAGGUCUGAAGCCAGGAGCAGUGUCCUUCUGUAAACAUGGCCAUCCCUUUCAAGGAGUGUGUGGCACAGUGUGCGCCAGCCUCACGUACACCAGGUCUGGUGUUACGGCUAGUAGGGCCCAUCUGCAGCAGUCUCCAGGCAACACUUAUUUGAGCUGCAAGAGAAUAAAUACGUAAUUUUCCCCUUGUGAAUAAUGCAUACGACCUUCAGAGCUCUGCUGGGAGUGUUCUGCCAAUGACACUUGUGGAAGAGUUACGUAUUUGCGUACCUAAUCAGCAGCAUAUUUGUUGUCUGCAGUGGAUUUGAGCUGGGAAGCUGCAGACUUCCUAAUUCAGUAGAGUUGAUAGCAGAAGGCUGAACUUUAACUCCUGAAGUGCCGGUGCUUCUCCCAGCAGCAGCAAAGCUUGUGCAGACAUACUGAGGAAGCUCUGCUCCUUAAGGAUUAGUUUCCUUUGCAGCGCUGCAGGGGCACUGGGCCUGUGGUCACCGUGCAUGCAUGCAGCACUGUGACUGCAGGCAGACGCACUGCUCCUGGCACAGGGAGCCUUUAUCACAUAGAUAACAGGAUAACAAGUAGGGAAAUCAUUCAAAAACUAUCAUGAGGAAGGACAUACUCCAAUGAUCUACAAAUGCACUCUUAAGAGAGAAACUGAAAUAGCUUUAAUUCAAAUCACAGCUGUAGUCAUGGAAGAAAACAGGAUGCGAAGGAACAUUUCCAGGAGAGGCAAUUCACAGAGAGAUUGUGUUACUACCAAGAGAGAUUCCUUCAGGGAGCACUGCAACAGCCCUGUCUGCCUGCAGCAGUGUCUGGCAGCUGUCUGACACGCAGCAAGGGGCAGCCACACUGCAGAAAGCUCAACCGUGGCCUUGUGAGGAGGGCUUGCUGGGUUGUGAGCUUGCAUCUACCAUGCACCAGGGUGCAGAACUAGAGGAACUCUGAUCCUUUUUGUAUUUGUAGAGAACAUAAAAGUAGGGGUUUUAUAUGUUUAUAUGCACAUAUGUAAAUACUGCCUUUGGCAUCAAAGCUUGUGUUUAAGCAGCACUGGAUCAAACACUACUGUACAGCCUCUGCUCACCCCCCUCUAGAUGAAACCAGCUCCACCACAGCAGAUGAUGGCUGCCACAGAGCCACGGGCAUCUGCUUAGAAGGGCUAUCUGGGACCCAGACUCACUUCUGGGAGCUGCUGAAAGUUUGGACAAAUUCUGUCACAAAGUGACCUGGGCCAUUCUUCCAUCUUGAAGGAUGCAGGACCCAGGAGCAGAUGUACGAGGUUUUUACUGAAGUUUAGCCAUGAGCACAGGACCCCUGCCCCAUCAGGAAAUGACAGGCAGAGCCCCAUUGCAACCUACAGUGGCUCCCACAACCCAGCCAGAUGCGACCAUCUCUCCUGGGCCACGCACAGCACAGCUCCUGGCACUGGGUGGGUGCAGCCCUGGGCAGGCUCCGGCCUUAUCUGUGCUCCUGCACACCUUGCUCUUCUUCUGAGAGAGAGCAAAUGCAGUAUAACAACUGGGUUAAGUAACAAACGAACAAACACUGCUCUAUAAUCAAGACCUGACAAAGCAGCAUGUGAAGUGCUGUUUGAAGAUGGGAAGUUCAAUUCAAAAUUGCGCAUUAAUCAAGUGAUUUUUACUAAGCCCCACUUCUAUGAUAUCUUCAGGAAAUCCUCAUCCAAGGCCACCAUAAUGUUACAUUUAGUGGAGGGACUGGGAAAACCAUUACAAGGCAUGCGGCUGGUACGUGUGCACUGCAUCUGCAAACUGGGGCUCCCAACCUCCUGACUGUGAGCAGGGCUUGAAGCUUUGGGUGCCCUGCUGCCUGAGACAGAGGGGGUGUGCAGACAGGGCAAGUGGGAAGGAAAUGGAGGUGGCUGGACAUACAGGAGGAUCAAUGGGGAGAUCAGAGGGGAGGCUGUGCAGCAGAGAAAGCUGACGAGGGGCUGCUGGCAAAUUCAAGAGUGUACAGGUAGGCUUGUGGGAAAUUUGGUUGAUGAGAAGACAAUGGUUUGGCAGAAACUUGUCACUACUGAGAUGGUGGUGAGACCUGGAGUGGGGGAGCAGAGAAGAUGGGAGACAAGUGUACUGUGGAGAAAUACAUACCAGUGGCAUGCCAAGGAGGGAAGAGGGGUCUGGGUGUGGGGCUGGUGGAAACAUCAGAAGAGGUUUCUCACUCAGGGUGAUGCUGAGCUGAGAGAUUCGUGACAAGACUGGCCAGAAUUUCUUGCUCCUUAAGCUAUGAAUGGUCUGAACCAAUUCCAUGGGUACUGGGUUUGGUGCCUCUUGUCUGGCCGCCACAAUCUGCUCUGAUGCCUGCAAAGCACUUCGUGGGGAAACUCCCUUCUCCCGGGAGCAGGGGGCAGAUGGGAGCAGA
ensembl:lncRNA